rnacentral:lncRNA from 1 species
GUCCUGGCAAUAUCACAAGAACCAUUACUAAUGAAUGGUGAAAGUGAAAAUCGUCAAUAUCAAAUUUGACCUCCAUUUUGUCAUCAGUAUCAACAUAUUAGAAUUUGAAAAGCUUAGAGUGAAUGGUUCAUGAGUAAAUGCAACAACGUGAAUUGAAACGUCAUUUUACGAUCUUUCAAGAACCAUAACUCCUGAACGGUAAAAGUCAAAAU